rnacentral:lncRNA from 1 species
AAAAAAAAAAAAAAAAAAAGAAUGAGAGUUGUUAAAUCAAGGAAUGGGACGCUUGCCAGGACGAUCAGCAGCCUGUAGAGUUUUAUCAAUAAGUUUCCGAGCUUGACGACUGCGGAUCUCGACCCUAACACUGUUGGUUUUAUCCAUCUUCAUGUACACCUUCUUCGGUUUCUUCUUCUUCAACGCCUUCACCUUUGAUUUGAUCGUCUGGAUCAAACUCUCAAACCCAUUCGUCAUCCUUGCUGCUAGAUUUCAAAUGAAUUGUUGUGUUACAUAUGGAAAUAUUUUUUAUACAUGUAUUAUUUAGAGAGAGAGAGAGAGAGAGAGAGAAGAAAGAGGAGAGUUGUAACAAACUGUCAAGUAGUAGGACCUAAGGUUUGAAUGGUUUAGUAGCUAUUUAUGGAAUUAG